AAGGAUGCUCUCUUGCACAGCCGUGUCUUUCAUGUUCCACACCAACGCGUUUUCAUGUUCUAGCGGCAGUGCGGCACCUCCAAAUCUUUCUCCUUCAAUCUCACAUUUUUUGUUGGUGAUUUAGAGUGUUCUUGACAAAGGUAAGUAAAUUUCUUUGCUUUCGAAUCUGCACAUCCAUUUUUUUAUGGAUUUUUGUUUCCGUAAGUGCUUUCUUGCAUUCCAGAUUAUAGAAUCUGGUAGAAUUUUGGAUCACAAAAUACGGUAAAAUCUCGAACUUUUGCUUUCGGUAAAAUCCUGCAUUUGUGGUUCUAGGAAAAUUCCAAAUUUGUGGAUCCGAAAGGUUCCGAAUUUGUGGAUCCGGGAAGCUUCUGAAAUUUUGGAUCUAGAUUUGUGUUUUUAUGGUCAUCCUUUCUUCAACAUAUCAAACUUCAUCCAAAGAUUUUUCUAUCUUCAAAUAUGAUUUGCAAUUCUUUUUUUUUUUUAAUAUUUUUUUUGGUCUAUAGUUUAUUUAUAUUUGUUUAGUAUAAAUGAUACAAUGCUAUUUUUUCCUCUUUUGGUUUCAAUAUAAUUUUAUAUUUGUUGUUUUUUUGUUUGUAUUGGUUCAACAUCUUAUUCAUUAGUUUGUAAUUUGGUUUAACUUGAAUGGUGUAAUUGAUUAGUAAUGGUGAAGACUAGGGGAGAAGGUUCACUAGGUGAUUAUCGUCUACGUCUCACAACCUCUCUUAGAAAGAAGACAUAUUAAUGAAGAUGAAGAACAAGUUGAAUAUGAAGAUGCAGA
rnacentral:lncRNA from 1 species